rnacentral:misc_RNA from 1 species
CUUUUUUUUUUUUUUUUUGUUAAAGCCGGUUUGAUUUAUUUUUGUAUUUUUAAUAAUUUAGUUUGCGGUUUUUUGGUCUAGUUCAGAACCAAACAAAUCGAAUGCUUACCCUUAUUUGUACAUUUAAGGAAAGAUUAUCACGAAUUAUUAAAGUUCAGAAAGAAAGAAAGAAAGAAAAUAAAACAAAGAGAAUAGUCCAACUUUAUUGUUCAAGAUUCCAAACUCCACUGAUGUUGAUUUUGAUUUGCUAAGUGUUGUUGAAGAGAGGAUUUUGUCAUUCUAAAUUCACCAACAAAUUUGAAAGGAGCUUCCAAGUAUUUUGAUUGCAACCUCCAAUUAAGGAGAAUUGAUAGGAAUAAAUUAGAUCUUUUUUGUAAUAAAGAUGUAGCUUAAGAAAUCAGGAUUUUCCUUUUUAAUUUUUCUUUAAACUUCUUUGCUUUAAAAUAGAAAUUUGAAUUUCUCCAACUACAAGAUAAAAGAUACAGAUUCAAGACCUCAAGACCUCAUUUAGCUUAACUCCAUGAUGCCAAAAAAAUCCAAAAUUUUCGGGUUUUUUACUGAAUUCUAUCCAACCAAGCAAAUUGAAGUCAUAAUUAAAAUAGAAACUAAUAUUUUAUUAUCAAUUAGAAUAAAAAAUUAAUUUUUAAUCAUAUUUUCCCUUUCUUCCCUCCCCUCUUUCCCUCACCCCUUUAUGCCUCAGUUUCUCCAUCUCAUCACCACCCCUCCCCCUUUCUCAAUUGCUAGUAUGAACCCAACUCCAAACUACACAAGAUUAUGGCUACUUCUUCUAUUGCUUCCUCUAGAAGUCUCUUUAUCUGCAUAUGCAUAUACAUAGAAAC